rnacentral:lncRNA from 1 species
UCAAACUCCCUUUGUAGCUGAGGAUGACCUUGAACUGAGUCCUGCUUCCACCCUGCGAGUGCUGAGAUGACAGGCGCACAUGUGCCACCACGCCUAACGGCCCAGCACCUGUCUCCCACUCUUGUCUGCUCUGUUCUCUCUACUCUCCAGUGCCUUACGUUCCUAAAGCACCAGGAUGUAUCUCUGGGCUUUCAGAAAUGACAGAAUGUGAAGAAGCCAGAAGUGGAAGAAGGGUUCCCACGGCCUGCCCAGGCCAGUUUUCUAAACAUGGGAUGGAGGCAGCAAUAGAUGGAUGAGGCCUAUGGGUGGAGAGAGGAGACUGGAGCUAGAGGCUUGGAAGAGAAGGGCUGAGGGCCUUUGGCUUGGACAGCCAACAAAGCAAGGAAUGAAAAUUUUCAGUAUGGAAACAAAUUUACUCUAAUUUUUUUUCCUCCAAGGAAACAGUCCAAUCAUCUGUCUUCCUUCAUUAAGAAGCCAAAUGACUGGCAACUGACCCUUGACCUUUCGCUUAAACUGAAUCCCAAAGGGAGAGGGUAAGGGUAGUUAGCUGUGACCGGAGGCUGCAGAGGGGAAAUGUCUACACUUGAAGUAAAAAUGUAUGGCCCACACCCAUCCUGCCCCAUCAGUUUGACACCUCAGCAAGCUACAAGCCCUAUACACAUAUACCCUGUCCUACACUGGGGCUUCACACACCCCGGGCAAUAACGGUCUCCCAAUUGUAUAUUGCAUAUGUAAUUCUGGUGGAUGGCUCUACUGCAAAUUCCAAGGCCCGAACCUUAGCUCUGAAAUAAUCCUGUGUUCAUGCCCAGACACAGAAGGAAUCUCCAGUUCUCUCACUGGACUUUUGGAAGGGAAGAGAAAGUGUUGAGUGCUGAGUGGCCUUGGUAGGAAACAGAAGAGAAACCAGACAUGAUGCUACAUGCCUGUGAGCCCAGGUUAGGGAGGGAGAGGCAAGAAAGGAUCAGGAGUUCAAGACCAGCCUUUGCUAUGUAGUGAGUUUGAAGUCUGGGCUUAUGCGCCCCACCCCCACCCCCACGCC